UUGCCAGCCGCCGCGGUAAUACGGAGGGUGCAAAGCGUUAUCCGGAUUCAUUGGGUUUAAAGGGUGCGCAGGCGGAUUAUUAAGUCAGUGGUGAAAUCCUCCCGCUUAACGGGAGAACUGCCAUUGAUACUGAUAAUCUGGAAUACGGUUGAAGUGGGCGGAAUGUAGCAUGUAGCGGUGAAAUGCAUAGAGAUGCUACAGAACACCGAUCGCGAAGGCAGCUCACUAAGCCGAUAUUGACGCUCAGGCACGAAAGCGUGGGGAGCGAACAGGAUUAGAUACCCUGGUAGUCCACGCCGUAAACGAUGAUGACUCGUUGUUGGCGACACACAGUCAGCGACUAAGCGAAAGCGAUAAGUUAUCCACCUGGGGAGUACGAUCGCAAGGUUGAAACUCAAAGGAAUUGACGG
rnacentral:rRNA from 1 species